rnacentral:rRNA from 1 species
GUGCCAGCCGCCGCGGUAAGACGGAAGGUGCAAGCGUUGCUCGGAAUCACUGGGCGUAAAGGGUGCGUAGGCGGCUUCUUAAGUCUGGUGUGAAAGCCCAGGGCUCAGCUCUGGAAGUGCACUAGAAACUGGGAAGCUUGAGUACCGGAGGGGAGAGUGGAAUUCCUGGUGUAGCGGUGAAAUGCGUAGAUAUCAGGAGGAAUACCGGUGGCGAAAGCGACUCUCUGGACGGUUACUGACGCUGAGGCACGAAAGCGUGGGGAGCAAACAGGAUUAGAAACCCGCGUAGUCC